GCAGAAGCAAGUGGCAUCUCAGUGUGUCAAUUUACAGUGCUGGCUUUUGAACUGCACUUGCUUGCCACAAAGCAUCAGAUGUUUCAUCUGAUUCCAACACCUCAGGGAGCUUUUAUGUACUCAAUGACAUAUUCCGUCUCAACGUGCUCAUUACAAAGAUUCUAGGAUACACUUGGAGGAAUGAUAGCUCGGCCUUAUCAUCUGG